CACCAAAGGAUGCAGUACUAGA
rnacentral:misc_RNA from 1 species